rnacentral:rRNA from 1 species
UAGGGAAUAUUGGACAAUGGGCGAAAGCCUGAUCCAGCAAUGCCGCGUGAGUGAGGAAGGCCUUAGGGUUGUAAAGCUCUUUCGGCGGGGACGAUGAUGACGGUACCCGCAGAAGAAGCCCCGGCUAACUUCGUGCCAGCAGCCGCGGUAAUACGAAGGGGGCAAGCGUUGUUCGGAAUUACUGGGCGUAAAGGGCGCGUAGGCGGCCGCCUUUGUCAGGUGUGAAAGCCCCAGGCUCAACCUGGGAAUUGCACUUGGGACGGGGUGGCUUGAGUUCGGGAGAGGAGAGUGGAAUUCCCAGUGUAGAGGUGAAAUUCGUAGAUAUUGGGAAGAACACCGGUGGCGAAGGCGGCUCUCUGGACCGAUACUGACGCUGAGGCGCGAAAGCGUGGGGAGCAAACAGGAUUAGAUACCCCCGUAGUCC